UGGGGAAUUUUGGACAAUGGGCGCAAGCCUGAUCCAGCCAUGCCGCGUGCAGGAUGAAGGCCUUCGGGUUGUAAACUGCUUUUGUACGGAACGAAAAAGACUCUGGUUAAUACCUGGGGGUCCAUGACGGUACCGUAAGAAUAAGCCCCGGCUAACUUCGUGC
rnacentral:rRNA from 1 species